GUCUCAAACAGGAGCCAUCAUUAGAGGGUAGAGGGCUUUUCCCUGCUGCCAGAACUCUUUUAACUCCUCUGCACACUCAUCAGCCCCUCCUAGACCCUCCGUGUCUGCUGCACUUGAAUUCGCUUGUUCACCCGCUUUCUUAGCCUUGGUUCCGCUUCUGUCCAGAAUGAGUAACUGGCAAGGUGGUACAUCAUUUCACCCACAGCUCAGUGUGAUGUCAUCUCUGCCCUGGACCUGAAACCCUGAUCCUUUCCAUCAGCUGCUGGAAUGCUGCCUUGGCAGUCUUUUAUCUGCUUACUUCAACCCAUAAACAUCUCUUUCUGAUUAGGUAAACAAGUAUAGGUCUUAGCUUCUAACUCUCAUGUCGUCUUAGGCAUUCCUUACUGAUAGCUCGUUCUUUUCUUUCUGUAAGACGCUGGCUUUGUUC
rnacentral:lncRNA from 1 species